GAGGAUGCAAGCGUUAUCCGGAAUGAUUGGGCGUAAAGCGUCCGCAGGUGGCUGUGUAAGUCUGCUGUUAAAGAGUGAGGCUCAACCUCAUAAAGGCAGUGGAAACUACAUGGCUAGAGUGCGUUCGGGGCAGAGGGAAUUCCUGGUGUAGCGGUGAAAUGCGUAGAGAUCAGGAAGAACACCGGUGGCGAAAGCGCUCUGCUAGGCCGCAACUGACACUGAGGGACGAAAGCUAGGGGAGCGAAUGGG
rnacentral:rRNA from 1 species